UCGUCUACCCAGACUGUCUUCCUGUUCUAUCGGUUCAUUAAUAGCCUUCCAAAACCUGACUUCAAUCUCUCCUUGUACCCAAGGGACAUAUGAGGCCCAAGCCGGGCAGUAAACAGGCCAGAGCCAGGCCAGGCCCACUAGCUGCCAGGGAAUGAUGGAAGUCAUAACCAGAAUUACGAAGAAAAAGUAGCAAAAGUUAAGAAGAAAUGCCAAUUUCUCAAUUUCCCUGGUGCUUUAUAAUGAGCUUUUGGUUCAUUGCUUCUCAGACCCUCAGCAGAGGUUGAAGACGAAUGAAGACCCCAGGCUUGGUGGCCUCCUGAACCUUCGGAGCAUCCUCAGCAGGGACGACCCGAUGUGCACAUGCUCUGAAUGUUCUCCUCCCCGAAGGAAGGUCUACAUCCAGGCCUGUGCCUUCCUCACGAGUUUCCUUCCAGUCAGAGGAAAGGAAGAAGGCAAAUCUAUCUGCUCCCUUCAAGAUGUCAAGGGCAAGGGAUUCUAGCAUCUCCUGGAAGGCAUUUCAUGGGCCACUGUCAAGAGGGUUUCCCUGCCUGCAGUCUGUUGCAGUUCACAGGCUCCAAAGUCUCAGGAUAACAGAGGACAGGCGGGUGGGGUAUCAGCCACACAGAGGCCCAUCCACUGAGAAUCAGACAAGCUGAAAGGGGAGGAGCUCAGGAGUGGGCACCGCUCGAUAGGGGCACAUUGCUGCUGGGCCCUGCUCGCCUCUUGAGAGUGGACACCACAUGGAUCAUCUGCCUUCCCCAACCUCUGCCAUGUGUCCCCUCCCCGUGCCUCUGCUCUGCGUGUGAAAUAAACAUGAUUCUCUCCUUUUUCAAUG